rnacentral:rRNA from 1 species
UACGUAGGGGGCAAGCGUUGUCCGGAAUCAUUGGGCGUAAGAGCGUGUAGGCGGCUUCGUAAGUUGGAUGUGAAAUCCCACGGCUCAACCGUGGACGUGCAUCCAAAACUACGUCGCUGGAGUCUCGGAGAGGAAGGUGGAAUGCUUGGUGUAGAGGUGAAAUUCGUAGAUAUCAAGCAGAACACCUGCGGCGAAGGCGGCCUUCUGGACGAUGACUGACGCUGAGACGCGAAAGCGUGGGGAGCAAACAGG